CUUAGCUCUUCCUGAGUUUCUUGAGUGAAGAUCAUUUUUGUCCUGGAUCCACAUUUCAUAAGAAAGCGAUAGCAUCUCUGAAUGGGGCUGUGUGGAGAAACCCUAGGAGAAACAGCAUAAAAGCAUUUUGGAAUAUAUCCCGCAAAAGAUAACUUUCUACACAUCUGGCAGAGAUUCUCCAGGUAAAGGUAAGAAAAGAAGACAUGGUGAAAGGUAGAGUCAAAUAAUUUCGUGACAUCACAGUGGGUGAGCUUUGGAGUAACACAGAGCACUGAUGCAGG
rnacentral:lncRNA from 1 species